GGUGGUUCUCAGGUAACACCCCCCAGAAUUGGGCUCUCUCCUCUCUGGUUCUGGUGUGUCAACAGAGAACCACA
rfam:Myotis brandtii contig319199, whole genome shotgun sequence.